rnacentral:rRNA from 1 species
UACGGAGGGUGCAAGCGUUGUUCGGAAUCACUGGGCGUAAAGCGCGUGUAGGUGGUCUUUUAAGUCUGGUGUGAAAGCCCGGGGCUUACCCCCGGAAGGGCACUGGAGACUGGGAGACUAGAGUACCGGAGAGGAAGGUGGAAUUCCUGGUGUAGCGGUGAAAUGCGUAGAUAUCUGGAGGAACACCGGUGGCGAAGGCGACAUCCUGGACCGGUAUUGACGCUGAGGCGCGAAAGCCAGGGGAGCAAACGGG